rnacentral:rRNA from 1 species
UACAGAGGUCUCAAGCGUUGUUCGGAUUCAUUGGGCGUAAAGGGUGCGUAGGUGGCGCCGUAAGUCAGGUGUGAAAUUUCGGAGCUUAACUCCGAAACUGCAUUUGAUACUGCGGUGCUUGAGGACUGGAGAGGAGACUGGAAUUUACGGUGUAGCAGUGAAAUGCGUAGAGAUCGUAAGGAAGACCAGUGGCGAAGGCGGGUCUCGUGGA